rnacentral:tRNA from 1 species
AAGCUUAGGUUAAACCUUCUAAACCCAGAGCCUUCAAAGCACUAAAUAGGGUUUCACACCCUAGCUUCUG